rnacentral:ncRNA from 1 species
UCGGUGCCGCUGAUGGGAGACCAGGCCAGCGGGUAAAAGGGAAACAGGUGCAAAACCUGUGCGAACUCGUCACUGUGAAGGCGGAGCGCGGCGCAAUGCGGCGACGCGGCCACUGUCCACGGCGCGGUGGGGAUGCCUCCCCGCCGCCCGGGAUGGGAAGGCUGCGCUGCGCGUCGAAGCCUGAGCCAGGAAACCUGCCGAGCG